rnacentral:rRNA from 1 species
UACGUAGGGAGCAAGCGUUUGUUCGGGAUUUACUGGGCGUAAAGGGCGCGUAGGCGGCGCGACAAGUCACUUGUGAAAUCUCCGGGCUUAACUCGGAACGGUCAAGUGAAACUGUCAUGCUAGAGUGCAGAAGGGGCAAUCGGAAUUCUUGGUGUAGCGGUGAAAUGCGUAGAUAUCAAGAGGAACACCUGAGGUGAAGACGGGUUGCUGGGCUGACACUGACGCUGAGGCGCGAAAGCCAGGGGAGCAAACGGG